AAAAAGGCCAAAUAAAAAACCAUUACACCCGUCGCACUUUAAAAAAAAAAAAAAAAAAAAUUAAUCCAAGUUCGCCCUUCGAGGGCACGCCGCAUACUGAGCUCCGCAGGGCGGGUCAAGGCUUAUAAAGCCUUGCCCCGCCCUGCAAUUAGGCUCAGAACACUCUGAUUGGUGGGUUUAAGCCAAUCAGAGUGUUAUGAGUCAUUUUACACAGCGUGGGAAAAUUC